UAUCUAUCUAUAAUAAUAAAAUAGAGUUUUCUCUCACCUCCUGCCUCCACAUCCUCGAGGAGAGUGGGGCUUUUGCCGACACGUGUCAGCACACCAGGGUAUUCUCUAUUUUUGCUUCCUGCCGGUCUCUACAUCUUUCAAUCAAACUGGGCUUUUAUUAUUUUGGCCCAAACUUUUGCAAACCCCUUAAAAACCAAAAUGGGAUUAGGGUUCCCCCUCCGUCUUCCUCUGCGCUGUGACAAAAGCUCAAGUCACGAUCCGAUCUACAUAACCUAUGCACCAUCCAUAACUCAGAGGUUUUGGCAAUGGCGAGAUUCAACACCGGUAAAUUCCCCACACCAUGGAGGCAAGAGAAAAUCAUAAGCUGCAUAUGAUGGUACUCCGAGAAGACUGUGUUGCUGAGUUGAACAAUUACAUAGACCCUCUCUACCGGAGAAUUUAGAUCGAAAACUUCUGACUUGCAUUUUGGAGGUUGAUGGUAAGCUGAAUCCAUGAAAGUGCAAUACCGAAUCAGGCAGGGUCUUAAGAAAGCUGAUUAGCAGAGCAUACUUGAUGAUUUAAACAAGCAGGACCCAGGGUUCACACAGCCCUCUGUUUCAGGGGCAAGGCCACAAGUGGUUCCAACCAACCUGCACUGCCGCUGGUAAUCACUAAUCCGGAAUGUGUCGAUUUUGGCCUAAUUAGAGGUCUUCGUCCAAAAUCACAUUUUGGGUUCAAGUUUGGUACCAUGCAUGCUGGUACUGGUCAGUAGGAAGACUUUGGACGCUAUAAUGUUGUUAAUGAGCUCGAGAUUCUGAAACGGUCGACCAUGAAUCCUUUGGUGUUGUGUGCCACAUCUGGCAGUGACCUACAAUAUAACGCAGUACAGUGGUGUUAGGAAACUGGAGACUGUUACAGUGACGGAGGUGAAUGCCUACGUUCUGAACUCGCCCCUAAGAAGAUUUACUGAUUCAAAGGGGUCAGCCGGUCAGGAAACCCAACAAGAAAGGCCCGAAGAGCUUAGUUUCCGUCAUGGAGCACUGUCAUGAAACCACUCUAUCGUUACUCCCAAUGCUUAAUAUUAUUUCUAUAAAUCUUAUGCUAUGCAAAUAAGGGAUUGGGCACUUAGGCGUUUUUGUCUCACUUCUAAUUUUGAUACUUCCUGAAUUUUUUUGCUUUUUUAAAUAUGAAUUCUUCUUAGUUUCCACAUAAAAUCAAAUGUCCAGCCUUUGUUAUUUAUCUA